rnacentral:rRNA from 1 species
UCACCCAGGUUGCCGCAAGGCCUCCUGGGUAACCUACCACCCUUUGUUUAUUACACUUUGUUGCUUUGGCAAGCCUGCCCUCGGGCUGCUGGCUCCGGCCGGCGAGCGCUUGCCAGAGGACCUAAACUCUGUUUGUCUAUACUGUCUGAGUACUAUAUAAUAGUUAAAACUUUCAACAACGGAUCUCUUGGUUCUGGCAUCGAUGAAGAACGCAGCGAAAUGCGAUAAGUAAUGUGAAUUGCAGAAUUCAGUGAAUCAUCGAAUCUUUGAACGCACAUUGCGCCCCCUGGUAUUCCGGGGGGCAUGCCUGUCCGAGCGUCAUUACAACCCUCAAGCUCAGCUUGGUAUUGGGCCCCGCCGACCCGGCGGGCCCUAAAGUCAGUGGCGGUGCCGUCCGGCUCCGAGCGUAGUAAUUCUUCUCGCUCUGGAGGUCCGGUCGUGUGCUCGCCAGCAACCCCCAAUUUUUUUCAGGUUGACCUCGGAUCAGGUAGGGAUACCCGCUGAACUUAAGCAUAUCAAUAAGCGGAGGAAAAGAAACCAACAGGGAUUACCUCAGUAACGGCGAGUGAAGCGGUAACAGCUCAAAUUUGAAAUCUGGCCUCACGGUCCGAGUUGUAAUUUGUAGAGGAUGCUUCGAGCAUGGUCUGGCCUAAGUUCCUUGGAACAGGACGUCAUAGAGGGUGAGAAUCCCGUAUGCGGCCAGGUGCCUACGCUCAUGUGAAGCUCCUUCGACGAGUCGAGUUGUUUGGGAAUGCAGCUCAAAAUGGGUGGUAAAUUUCAUCUAAAGCUAAAUAUUGGCCAGAGACCGAUAGCGCACAAGUAGAGUGAUCGAAAGAUGAAAAGCACUUUGGAAAGAGAGUUAAACAGUACGUGAAAUUGUUGAAAGGGAAGCGCUUGCAACCAGACUUGCGCGCGGCCGAUCAUCCGGUGUUCUCACCGGUGCACUCGGCCGUGCUCAGGCCAGCAUCGGUUUUGGCGGCUGGAUAAAGGCCCUAGGAAUGUGGCUCCUCUCGGGGAGUGUUAUAGCCUAGGGUGCAAUGCAGCCUG